UCAAGAAACUUCCACAAUGGGCGAAAGCCUGAUGGAGCGACGUCGCGUGAUGGACGGAGUGCUUCGGCACGUAAACAUCUUUUAUGUGGGAUGAAAUUAUUGACAGUACCACAUGAAUAAGGGGCUCCUAACUCUGUGCCAGCAGGAGCGGUAAUACAGAGGCCCCAAGCGUUAUCCGGAAUCACUGGGCGUAAAGGGUGUCGAGGCGGUUGUAUUAGUCGUUCGUAAAAUCUACGAGCUUAACUUGUAGGCGGCGAACGAAACGGUACGACUUGAGGUUUGGAGAGGUGCGUGGAACUCACGGUGUAGGGGUGAAAUCCGUUGAUAUCGUGGGGAACACCAAAGGCGAAGGCAGCGCACUGGCCAAAAUCUGACGCUCACACACGAAAGCUAGGGUAGCGAAGAGGAUUAGAUACCCACGUAGUCCCUGAGCGGGCUGGCAAGGCGCAU
rnacentral:rRNA from 1 species